AGUGAACGCUGGCGGUAGGCCUAACACAUGCAAGUCGAACGGCAGCACAGUAAGAGCUUGCUCUUACGGGUGGCGAGUGGCGGACGGGUGAGGAAUACAUCGGAAUCUACUUUUUCGUGGGGGAUAACGUAGGGAAACUUACGCUAAUACCGCAUACGACCUACGGGUGAAAGCAGGGGAUCUUCGGACCUUGCGCGAUUGAAUGAGCCGAUGUCGGAUUAGCUAGGUGGCGGGGUAAAGGCCCACCAAGGCGACGAUCCGUAGCUGGUCUGAGAGGAUGAUCAGCCACACUGGAACUGAGACACGGUCCAGACUCCUACGGGAGGCAGCAGUGGGGAAUAUUGGACAAUGGGCGCAAGCCUGAUCCAGCCAUACCGCGUGGGUGAAGAAGGCCUUCGGGUUGUAAAGCCCUUUUGUUGGGAAAGAAAAGCAGCAGGUUAAUACCCCGCUGUUCUGACGGUACCCAAAGAAUAAGCACCGGCUAACUUCGU
rnacentral:rRNA from 1 species